AGAGUUUGAUCAUGGCUCAGGAUGAACGCUAGCUACAGGCUUAACACAUGCAAGUCGAGGGGAAACGACAUCGAAAGCUUGCUUUUGAUGGGCGUCGACCGGCGCACGGGUGAGUAACGCGUAUCCAACCUGCCCAUCACUUGGGGAUAACCUUGCGAAAGUAAGACUAAUACCCAAUGAUAUCUCUAGAAGGCAUCUAAAAGAGAUUAAAGAUUUAUCGGUGAUGGAUGGGGAUGCGUCUGAUUAGCUUGUGGCGGGUAACGGCCACCAAAGCAACGAUCAGUAGGGGUUCUGAGAGGAAGGUCCCCCANAUUGGAACUGAGACACGGUCCAAACUCCUACGGGAGGCA
rnacentral:rRNA from 1 species